rnacentral:rRNA from 1 species
UACGGAGGGAGCUAGCGUUGUUCGGAAUUACUGGGCGUAAAGCGCACGUAGGCGGCUACUCAAGUCAGAGGUGAAAGCCCAGGGCUCAACCUUGGAACUGCCUUUGAAACUAGGUAGCUAGAAUUCUGGAGAGGUCAGUGGAAUUCCGAGUGUAGAGGUGAAAUUCGUAGAUAUUCGGAAGAACACCAGUGGCGAAGGCGACUGCCUGGACAAAGACUGACGCUGAGGUGCGAAAGCGUGGGGAGCAAACAGG